rnacentral:misc_RNA from 1 species
AAGUCGUAACAAGGUUUCCGUAGGUGAACCUGCGGAAGGAUCAUUAACACGUAUCCAACGUUAAACCCCCCCGUGAACGUACAUUCCUUCUCCGCUUACAGAAAAUUGGUUGCAAUCCCUGGUAAAUCAUCGCCAAACAGUUUUGAUUCAGGGACUUCUAACACGUAAGUGUUUAACCCAGAGGAAAGUAGACGAGAGUUCGACUAUCCCAAGGUGUUGAGUGCGCUUUCGAUUUGCAAAAAUGAACGUAAUCGACAGGGUGUCGCGAAAACGUGGUAAGGCAUGAUUUUACUUGUUCCGAAAGGUCAAGUACUAACUGAACAACUGUUAACAAUGGAUAUCUUGGUUCUC